CCCUUAGAUGUUCUGGGCCGCACGCGCGCUACACUGAUGCAUUCAACGAGCCUAGCCUUGACCGAGAGGUCCGGGUAAUCUUUGAAACUGCAUCGUGAUGGGGCUAGAUUAUUGCAAUUAUUAAUCUUCAACGAGGAAUGCCUAGUAAGCGUGAUUCAUCAAAUCGCGUUGAUUACGUCCCUGCCCUUUGUACACACCGCCCGUCGCUCCUACCGAUUGAGUGUGUUGGUGAGGAGUUCGGAUUGGCUCUUAGUGGUGGUUCACCACCACCUAGAGCUGAGAAGUUCUCCAAACCGCCCCACUUAGAGGAAGGAGAAGUCGUAACA
rnacentral:rRNA from 1 species